rnacentral:rRNA from 1 species
GUGCCAGCAGCCGCGGUAAAACGUAGGACGCAAGCGUUAUCCGGAGUUACUGGGCGUAAAGGGCGUGCAGGCGGUCGGGUAAGUUCGCCGUGAAAGACUCCGGCUCAACCGGGGGAUGUCGGGGGAGACUGCCGGACUGGAGGGCGGUAGAGGAGCAGGGAAUUCCGGGUGUAGUGGUGAAAUGCGUAGAGAUCCGGAGGAACACCAGUGGCGAAGGCGCUGCUCUGGGCCGCUGCUGACGCUGAGACGCGAAAGCAUGGGGAGCGAACGGGAUUAGAAACCCGCGUAGUCC